rnacentral:rRNA from 1 species
GACAGAGGUGCCAAGCGUUAGGCGGAAUCACUGGGCUUAAAGCGUGUGUAGGCGGGCGGGCAAGUACCUUGUGAAAUCCCACGGCUCAACCGUGGAACGGCUGGGUAUACUGCCUGUCUUGAGCCAGCUAGGGGCGACCGGAACAGACGGUGGAGCGGUGAAAUGCGCAGAUAUCGGGAGGAACACCAAUGGCGAAGGCAGCACUCUGGGCCGGUACUGACGCUGAGGAGCGAAAGCGUGGGGAGCAAACAGG